GCCAGAGUGAGGCGCGAAACCCCAGUAAAAGGCAGUUUUGACCCCCACAUUUACAUAGAUGCCAUUGGGGUACCUAGGGGGGUGCCUAAUGAAUUUAAAACUAGAGAUGAAGUAGCUCUAGGUUUUGAAUCACUGUUCACUAUAGUCACUGCCAACAAAAACCUUAAUUGGAUUAACUACAUUUAUUACAACCAACAGCGCUUCGUGAACUACACCAGGGAUGCCCUCCAGGGCUUGGCCGAG